rnacentral:misc_RNA from 1 species
GAUGAAGAACGUAGUGAAAUGCGAUAAGUAAUGUGAAUUGCAGAAUUCCGUGAAUCAUCGAAUCUUUGAACGCACAUUGCGCCCCCUGGUAUUCAGGGGGGCAUGCCUGUCCGAGCGUCAUUGCAACCUUCAAGCGCGGCUUGUGUGUUGGGUCUCGUCCCCCGUGGACGGGCCCGAAAGGCAGUGGCGGCGUCCCGACAUGGUGCCCGAGCGUAUGGGAAUCCUCUUCCGCUCGAAUCGGCCCAUGCGGCGCUGGUCGUAACCAAAUUUUUUACCGGUUGACCUCGGAUCAGGUAGGGAUACCCGCUGAACUUAAGCAUAUCAAUAAGCGGAGGA